rnacentral:rRNA from 1 species
AGAGUUUGAUCAUGGCUCAGAAUCAACGCUGGCGGCGCGCUUAACACAUGCAAGUCGAACGAGAAAGCCCGCAAGGGUGAGUAAAGUGGCGUACGGGUGAGUAACACGUGGGUAAUCUACCUUUUGGUGGGGAAUAACGCUGGGAAACCGGCGCUAAUACCGCAUAAGCUCGGAAGAGGAAAAGAGAAAUCUGCCGAAAGAGGAGCCCGCGGCUGAUUAGCUAGUUGGUGAGGUAAAGGCUCGCCAAGGCAAUGAUCGGUAGCCGGCCUGAGAGGGCACACGGCCACACUGGCACUGAAACACGGGCCAGACUCCUACGGGAGGCAGCAGUGGGGAAUCUUGCACAAUGGGGGAAACCCUGAUGCAGCGACGCCGCGUGAGUGAUGAAGCCCUUCGGGGUGUAAAGCUCUUUCGGCAGGGACGAUAAUGACGGUACCUGAAGAAGAAGCUGCGGCUAACUACGUGCCAGCAGCCGCGGUAAUACGUAGGCAGCAAGCGUUGUUCGGAGUUACUGGGCGUAAAGAGUGCGUAGGCGGUUUUCUAAGUUUGGUGUGAAAUCUCCCGGCUUAACUGGGAGGGUGCGCCGAAGACUGGAAGGCUUGAGUAUGGGAGAGGUAAGCGGAAUUCCUGGUGUAGCGGUGAAAUGCGUAGAUAUCAGGAGGAACACCUGCGGUGUAGACGGCUUACUGGACCAUAACUGACGCUGAGGCACGAAAGCGUGGGUAGCAAACAGGAUUAGAUACCCCGGUAGUCC